CAACUUGGUGUGAGCGGCGCAACGAGGCCGGGCGAUUUUCCUUGGAGGCGAGUUUUUCCUUCUUACUCGGUAGUCUAGGUUGCUUUUGUGGUACGGUGUGGAUUUUUUUUAUGUUUUACCCUUCAUCUGCUCUAUAAGAGGCCCUCCUCAUCACCAUGUAUCCGUUUUCCUAUGUUGCUUUUUUUUGAAAUGGAACACAAUGAUUCCAUACUUCACACAGGUCCAACCAUAGAGCUGGAUUUUUUUAUGUUGCUUUAUAUAUAAAGCGGGACGGAAUCCUUUUUAAAUAUAGGAUUUGAGACACAUGUCAUCUCGCUUUAUGUGAUUUUUCUAUUUUUAAGAUAGUCCUAUCGGAACAUAUAAAGCCCGCUAGAGUACCCGCCAUUCUAGGGGCAUUCGCGGCGCGCAUGCGUUCUGGCCGCACGAUCUGCCUCGCUGGCCCGAUUUUACAGUGCUGUCAAAAAUCCUGCGGUUAGUUUCUUUAAACAUUGAUCUUUCAUGCUGCAGCGGAUGACGUGUGGGGCUCCUUUCCUCGUGGGCCUGUUUUGCAGUUACAUUGAGAAGAAACCUCAGGGUUCUGUCCGUUCUAUGCGCCGUGGAAUCGGGUGAAAACCUAGCUGCCAAUCCCCUCACAUCCUCGAUCCCCCAGACCCCAUGCCUCGUCUCUCCUCUCCUCCUCACGACCACCGCCGCCGCCGCGCCCCUUCUCCUCCUCCUCCUCUGCCCAGCGCUGCCUCUCCUCCUCUCCUACUACCGGAUCCUGCCGCGUGCCGACUUCUCCUCAAAGAUAAGGGUCACAUCCGCAGGAGAAGAGGGGCGGCGCGGCAAAAUUGAGGAGUAGCGUCGCAGCUGGGUCUUGACGGUGGAGGUUGAGGAGCAGGGGAGGCCGGUGGUGGGGCGAAGGAGUAGCGUGGCCGGUGACCGGGGCAAGAAGUAGCGGGACAUCGCUCUCAUCGCACUGGGGUGGAGCUGCAGGGGAGAAGGGGUGGUCAGCCCUUGUUCAUCAUGGCCGCCAUUGGCUUGCAGCUCGUGUGAGCAUCCACAGUGACGAGUUCUUGUGCUGAUUACCAGAGGCAACAUCACAGUCGUGGAGUACAUGUACAUCAACGCCGACAGUGCCGGCAGCAACGACACGAGUCUCCAGAUGAAGCUUUUGUGGCCAGCAAUGAAAACUGCUUAAAGAUGAGCCCGCCCAGCCACCUGUCAUCCACGACCCUACUCCUCAAGCCAUUCUUGUCUCUACAGGCAGGUGAGCUCUUUCCUCCUCCCCCCUCUCUCUUUUCAAUUUAUGCUGGUAGAUGUGUUUGCUGUGGGUUCUGCUGCUACCAGGCUUGGCUACUGCUUGGCCUAACUCUACUUGUGCUGCUGCUAUGUGCUACUAUAUGUUGUUGGUUGCCUCCUUGGUUAUUUGUGAAUCUGAAAACACUUUGUGAGAAGCACGGAUUGAAGAGAAGGCUAUGAGCCAAUGAGAAGAGCUUCAUUUUCAUUUUUUUAGAAUUGAUGAAGGACGUGUCAUAUGUUCAGUUGCUAACAUUCUCUCUAUGGUGUAUGCACUUGUUGUUCAUUGCAUUAGAGGGAGAGGAAAACUAUUUGUGAGAAGCAAGGAUUGAAGAGAAGGCUAUGAGCCAAGGGAGAGGACAACAAGAGUAAGAAAGUCUUGCGGCGUGAAGGCAGUAGCACGCAGCGCCAAGUCAAGCACAUUGGCCUCGAUGGCAAGAGACCAGUACCAUCAGGUUCGCUUGACUGCUUGCUAGCCCGUCAUUGAACAAUACCCUUAAUAAAGCUACAUGGUGGACGCUAAUUGUCAUAUUUUGACCGACAAAUCUGUUUGAAUAGAUUAUACAAGAUUGAUGUGAUUAUCAGAUGAUUGCAGUCUACCCAAGAGUACACGAGAAAGAAGUGCUACUGCUACAUUACUGCUGCUUGCCAAGGGAAAAGAGAGUUCCAUUGUAAAAUGAGAUGCCAGGUAUUGAGGGCUAGACUGUACAUGGCAAAGAUUAAUUUGUUAUGGUGAAGCCAAAGCUUUAGUGUUUGAUUCAUUGGGUUUCAUCUUUGUUAACUUAUUAUUAAGCAUAUCUACUAUGUACUUUGUCCCACAUAAAUGAUUGAGAAAAACUCUGCUUUUUAUGACAUCAUGACUCACUGUCAUGUCUAAAUAUUUGAAUCUUAUAUUGAUGUUUCGACCGUGGAUGCCAAAACAUCACAGUUUGCCUGAUAGAGUGAAUCCAUUAUAAAAUAAAGCUCCUUCCAUCAAUUAGAUAGCUUUUAUGAAUUUGAUUUUUCUAUUUUGAAGAUACAUAUUGGUUAUUUGGAUGCUUUCGUUUAGAGGGCAUGACAGCUUGGCCAGAACCAGCCAAUGUCAGAGAACUCCGAGGGUUGCAGGGGUUAUUACAGGAGGUUUGUACCGGCGCUGAAGUAUGUAACUGAUGCCAUACUCCCAGGAAAAGCUCGAACGACCUUCAACAAAAGGGUACCUGUACC